UCAAGACUCAAGCAAUGUACUACUUAUACCUAUUUUCAUUACUCAUAUCCUCCACCCCUUAUUCUUCUCUCCCCGGUUGGUUGGUAUUCUUAGAAAACUAUUCCGUGGAAGGGUGUUGCUUUGGGAAUGGUCUUUUUCGUGAUCUUCCACAGCUUUCUUGAACUGUGUUGUGAGGCUUCUCUCCAAUGAAGGUUUAUACCCUAUGCAAAAGAAAUUCUAUGAGCACAAUUCAAGAUAGCUGUGGAAAAUCACUGAGAUGAUCUGGUUCAUCAAUUCCUCUUUGAAUUAAAUUGUUCUCUAUGAUACUUGUGAUGUCAAAGUAUCAUGCAUAGGCAAAAAAGUUGUUGAGGGAUCGAUGAAGGUGGAAGUGCGAGACUUUGUCUUCAAGUGAAGAAAAGAAAAAUUGUGACGUACGUAGCUGCAAUUGUGACACUGCCACAGAUUCUGAACACAUGCAAUCAAGUUUGGAGUCACUUCUUUCUACCUAGUUUUUUCUACUUCUUUUAAGUAAAAUGACAUGCAGCUAAAUUAUUUGGAACAUAUAUAAUUUACCCUUAAUAUUUCUUUUUCAUGUUUACAUAUAAUGACUAGAUAUAAUUACUAUUAGAGCGUGUUUAGAUCUACCUUGUAUUUAAAAAUUGUGCCAUUUCCACAUUAA